rnacentral:rRNA from 1 species
CCUACGGGAGGCUGCAGUGGGGAAUAUUGCACAAUGGGGGGAACCCUGAUGCAGCGACGCCGCGUGAGUGAAGAAGUAUUUCGGUAUGUAAAGCUCUAUCAGCAGGGAAGAAAAUGACGGUACCUGACUAAGAAGCCCCGGCUAACUACGUGCCAGCAGCCGCGGUAAUACGUAGGGGGCAAGCGUUAUCCGGAUUUACUGGGUGUAAAGGGAGCGCAGACGGCUGUGCAAGUCUGUAGUGAAAGGCGGGGGCACAACCCCCGGACUGCUCUGGAAACUGUAAAGCUGGAGUGCAGGAGAGGUAAGCGGAAUUCCUAGUGUAGCGGUGAAAUGCGUAGAUAUUAGGAGGAACACCAGUGGCGAAGGCGGCUUACUGGACUGCAACUGACGUUGAGGCUCGAAAGCGUGGGGAGCAAACAGGAUUAGAUACCCGUGUAGUC